rnacentral:tRNA from 1 species
AACCCGGUGGUGUAAUGGCAGCACCAGGGAUUUUGGUUCCCUUAGUCAAGGUUCGAAUCCUUGCCGGGUUG